rnacentral:rRNA from 1 species
UACCAGCACCCCCGAGUGGUCGGGACGAUUAUUGGGCCUAAAGCAUCCGUAGCCGGUCAUGCAAGUCCUCCGUUAAAUCCACCUGCUUAACAGAUGGGCUGCGGAGGAUACUACAAGGCUAGGAGGCGGAAGAGGCAAGCGGUACUCAGUGGGUAGGGGUAAAAUCCUCUGAUCCAUUGAAGACCACCAGUGGCGAAGGCGGCUUGCCAAUACGCGCUCGACGGUGAGGGAUGAAAGCUGGGGGAGCAAACAGG